CAAUCUACCUUGGAGUGGGGAAUAACGGCUGGAAACAGCCGCUAAUACCGCAUGAUGCGUCUGGGCCGCAUGGCUCCGGGCGCCAAAGAUUCAUCGCUCUGAGAUGAGCUCGCGUCUGAUUAGCUAGUUGGCGGGGCAACGGCCCACCAAGGCGACGAUCAGUAGCCGGACUGAGAGGUUGGCCGGCCACAUUGGGACUGAGACACGGCCCAGACUCCUACGGGAGGCAGCAG
rnacentral:rRNA from 1 species